GCCUUGGUGGUGUAGUGGUACCUUCCCCUCCUGGGUAAGGAGGAAACGCGGGUUCAAUCCCGCCCGGGGUA